GUUCAGGGAAAAGCAGUUCCAACGUCGUGUAUCCAGAGGCGGUGUUAAAAGAAGCUUUCUGAUUGGCCAGAGACUGGCUUGGACCAUCUUCGGGAGGAAUGGGGACUCGUCGUAUCCUCCUGCCCUUCUGGAGUCAUUCCUGGUGGUGUGGUUAAGACCUGUCUCCUGCAUUUCCCUUACCUACUUGUCUUCUUUGGAGACAUCGGGCAAGCCUGUCUCAGACACCCCAGGCCUCGGGUCACCGUGUAGAUUAAGAGGUGGUAUAUUAUAUACAAAACGUCUGGCGCAUAUUAAGUGCUCAAAGGAGGAAGAGGCAGAUGUGGACGGAGGCUCUGUCCAGCCCCAAAGCUGGAGCCUGGCACAGUCAUAUUCUCCAAGUCCAUGGCUGAAAGAGAAGAGCGUCUCCAACCCCAACUUUCCCCAUCCAUCCUUCUCCACCUCUGGUCCUUCCUCGCUCCCCCCACCCCACCCCGCUACCAUCUGCAUGCUUUCCCUGCUCUUGGCCAUCCAGUCCAUCAUUCAGUUCUCUGCCCAGGUGCAGGCUGCUCCCGCUCUUAUCAAAAGGCACUCAGGAGGGCUUCCCUGGUGGCGCAGUGUUUGAGA